GACGAACCGUGCGAACGUUGUUCGGAAUCACUGGGCUUAAAGGGCGCGUAGGCGGACCGCCAAGUCGGGGGUGAAAUCUUUCGGCCCAACCGGAAAAGCGCUUCCGAUACUGGCGGCCUCGAGGGAGGUAGGGGUCGGCGGAACUGGUGGUGGAGCGGUGAAAUGCGUAGAUAUCACUAGGAACGCCGGUGGCGAAAGCGGCCGACUGGACCUCUUCUGACGCUGAGGCGCGAAAGCCAGGGGAGCGAACGGG
rnacentral:rRNA from 1 species